GGCAGGCAAACACAGCAUGCUGCAGCCAUGAAAGCAAGUAAACAAACUGGAUUUCGACCUAAAAAGCUCCAUGACCAAAGCGGACGAAUAGGCUGAGGCACCAGAAUGAAGGUGCUGCACCAUUUAAGGUGGAACAGGAAAAUCUGAACAAGAAGCUGGCGAAUAAGAAGCUGACUACAGCUUUUUCAAGCUGAAGCAAUGGAGGGAGGGAAGAGUGAUCUUGCUGUCACCCUUUCACGUCACUUAAACAACAGGCACUCAGGCUAACUCAGGAGGGACUGCCAGCGGAACUGGCUCUUUGAGCCCACUCUGUCUCCAAAUUGUAUCCUGCCCUCUUCACCCACAAGUCCCUGCAAACAAAACAGCGCACCAGAAGGCAAAUGCAGAGAAUCUGGAGGUUGCCGCACACUCUCCUGUCCAUGCUGAGAAGGGCCGCAAUUAUACCUGCGCUGGAGAGAACAGGCUGCAGUGCCAUCAGGACUCCUGCUGAGGCCUCUUGUGUAUUUUCUCUCGUUGAAUCUUUCUAAAUGUCUUCCUGUUUCUUCUCUCUCACCCACUUUUCUCUAUUCUACCUCUAUCCUCAUUUUGAUGUCUCUCUGUAGGUCCCCAGUGAAGGGAGGAGUAGGAUUAGCUUACCCACACUCCUUCUCUCGCUCCCACUCUCGUUCUCACACUGUGCUAAUCCCUCAGGUGUUCCUCUAAGCCUGCAAUGCCUGCUACUCAUUAGCUACCAUUCCACUCUCACAACCAACAUUUCACGCUCCAUAAGCUGCAAGUUGUUUUCCAUUGCUAUUAACUAUACUUUUGGAGCUAAAUACUCCCAAAGGCAUGUUUUCUGCCAUGCUGAUUCCAUAAUUUGUUUGAUGCCUAGGAAUACACUUUUAAAAAUAAAGGUGCAUAAUAGGGUUAUUUGGGGUGAUGCCAUAAAAGAACCACUUUUAAUGAAUGGUUACACAACAGCUCCUUACCGAUUAAAGAUUAUUUACUAGAACUGUA